UGCUAAAGAUGAGUUGACAGUCAAUAGCGUA
rnacentral:piRNA from 1 species